GGCGGCGGCAACGCCUAGUUUAGCAGAUGACUGGGCGUUGUGCGUGGACUUUCUAGGAAGGAGGAGAGGGAAUGCGGGGCAUGUGGCCAGGCUAGGCCAGGUGGUGUGUGUGCAGAUAAGCUUGGAGCUAGCGGGACGGGGACGGCUGGAAGGCUGGAAGAAUAGUUCUGGCUGUGAUGUGCAUGCUGGGAUGAGCCACAGAAGUGAGGGGUCACUCAGAGGCAGCGCACGUGUCCCGUCCGGCUGGAGGUAAGCUAUGCAGUCACUAGGGCAGGCAACCUUCUCCCCUGGUGCCAGAGGUGCUCUUCCAAGGCCAA
rnacentral:lncRNA from 1 species